rnacentral:rRNA from 1 species
CCUACGGGGGGCAGCAGUGAGGAAUAUUGGUCAAUGGUCGGGAGACUGAACCAGCCAAGCCGCGUGAGGGAGGAAGGUACAGAGUAUCGUAAACCUCUUUUGUCAGGGAACAAAGACUGGGACGCGUCCCCGGAUGAGUGUACCUGAAGAAAAAGCAUCGGCUAACUCCGUGCCAGCAGCCGCGGUAAUACGGAGGAUGCGAGCGUUAUCCGGAUUUCUUGGGUUUAAAGGGUGCGGAGGCGGUCUGUUAAGUCAGCGGUGAAAGACCGGGGGUCAACCCUGGCACGGCCGUGGAAACUGGGAGUCUCGAGUAGGUGUGAGGUAGGCGGAAUGCGCGGUGUAGCGGUGAAAUGCAUAGAUAUCACGCAGAACCCCGAUUGCGAAGGCAGCAUGCC